UUGCAAAGCACAACUCAUACAAAUCUUCUUUUCCGACUAAACCUGAUCAUCACACUUCUGGGCUUGGCUCAUGGACUCAUAUUCCUCCCUGUGCUGCUCAGCUACUUUGGUCCGAGUGUGAAUAAAGCUGUGUUGCUGCAGCAGCAGCAGGCCAAAGCAAAGGCGAGCAGGAGCUGGAGAUGAGAAACACAAUUAAACACAUUUAUGAUAACAUGAGUUAUGAAGACAAUGAAAUAAAACAGGAGGCAGAUGCAAAGGCUCCUAAAGACGUGGACAAUACUUCACAGAUUGAAGCAAACCAUCAGGCAAAGAAGGUGAAAAGUGA